GACGAACGCUGGCGGCGUGCUUAACACAUGCAAGUCGAACGGAAAGGCCCUGCUUUUGUGGGGUGCUCGAGUGGCGAACGGGUGAGUAACACGUGAGUAACCUGCCCUUGACUUUGGGAUAACUUCAGGAAACUGGGGCUAAUACCGGAUAGGAGCUCCUGCUGCAUGGUGGGGGUUGGAAAGUUUCGGCGGUUGGGGAUGGACUCGCGGCUUAUCAGCUUGUUGGUGGGGUAGUGGCUUACCAAGGCUUUGACGGGUAGCCGGCCUGAGAGGGUGACCGGCCACAUUGGGACUGAGAUACGGCCCAGACUCCUACGGGAGGCAGCAGUGGGGAAUAUUGCACAAUGGGCGGAAGCCUGAUGCAGCAACGCCGCGUGCGGGAGGACGGCCUUCGGGUUGUAAACCGCUUUCGCCUGUGACGAAGCGUGAGUGACGGGAAUGGGGAAAGAAGCACCGGCGAACUACGU
rnacentral:rRNA from 1 species